rnacentral:rRNA from 3 species
GCGACCCCAGGUCAGAC